CAAAAACCAAAUUUCAACAUUUUAAGGUUUUUUUAUUGAAAUGGGUUUUGCUCAGUAUGUUUAUGCUAAGUUAUAAGUUUCAGACGUUUUGAGUUGAAAAUAGUAGAUAGAGUAAUGAUUUUUUUUUCAA